rnacentral:rRNA from 1 species
AGUGAACGCUGGCGGUAGGCCUAACACAUGCAAGUCGAACGGCAGCACAGUAAGAGCUUGCUCUUACGGGUGGCGAGUGGCGGACGGGUGAGGAAUACAUCGGAAUCUACUUUUUCGUGGGGGAUAACGUAGGGAAACUUACGCUAAUACCGCAUACGACCUACGGGUGAAAGCAGGGGAUCUUCGGCCCUUGCGCGAUUGAAUGAGCCGAUGUCGGAUUAGCUAGUUGGCGGGGUAAAGGCCCACCAAGGCGACGAUCCGUAGCUGGUCUGAGAGGAUGAUCAGCCACACUGGAACGGAGACACGGUCCAGACUCCUACGGGAGGCAGCAGUGGGGAAUAUUGGACAAUGGGCGCAAGCCUGAUCCAGCCAUACCGCGUGGGUGAAGAAGGCCUUCGGGUUGUAAAGCCCUUUUGUUGGGAAAGAAAAGCAGCAGGUUAAUACCCCGCUGUUCUGACGGUACCCAAAGAAUAAGCACCGGCUAACUUCGUG